rnacentral:tRNA from 1 species
GGAGAGGUGUCCGAGUGGCUGAAGGAGCACGCUUGGAAAGCGUGUUUGCGAGAAAUCGCAACGUGGGUUCGAAUCCCACCCUCUCCGCCA